rnacentral:rRNA from 1 species
UACGUAGGUGGCGAGCGUUGUCCGGAUUUACUGGGCGUAAAGGGAGCGUAGGCGGACUUUUAAGUGAGAUGUGAAAUACUCGGGCUCAACUUGAGUGCUGCAUUUCAAACUGGAAGUCUAGAGUGCAGGAGAGGAGAAUGGAAUUCCUAGUGUAGCGGUGAAAUGCAUAGAUAUCACGCAGAACUCCGAUUGCGAAGGCAGCAUACCGGCGCCCUACUGACGCUGAGGCACGAAAGCGUGGGUAUCGAACAGG